rnacentral:rRNA from 1 species
CAAUUUGAGAGUUUGAUCCUGGCUCAGGAUGAACGCUGGCGGCGUGGAUAAGGCAUGCAAGUCGAGCGCCGAGCACCACUUUUGACGGAAUACUGUGGUCUUCAGAGUAAAUGACAACAAACUGAAUGAUUACGGAAAUAUUGUUUCAAAAGUGGUGCUCGGAGCGGCAAACGGGUUAGUAACGCGUAGGAACGUACCCUCUUCUCGGGCAUAACCAACCGAAAGGCUGGCUAAUUCCCGAUAGUCUGACGGCUUAACCUUGUUUAUAGACAUUAAAAAUCCUAAUUUCUAAUAUCUAAUUUUAUCUAAACAAAUUCAAAAUUCGAAUUUUCAAAUAACCAAAACCGUUUUGAACAUUUGAAUUUUGAUUAUUAGAAUUUGCUUCGGAUUUAGGAUUUAAGAUUUAUGAUUUUAAACCAUCAAAAACGAUUAAGCGUUGUAAAUAAAGUUAAGUCGUCAGUAAAGGCAUAGAGCAAUCUAUGCCGGUAGAGGAGCGGCCUGCGUACUAUCAGCUUGUUGGUAGGGUAAUGGCCUACCAAGGCUAUGACGGUUAGGGGGUGUGAGAGCGCGACCCCCAACAUCGGAACUGAGAUACUGUCCGGACUCCUACGGGAGGCUGCAGUCAAGAACCUUCGACAAUGCGCGAAAGCGUGAUCGAGCGACGCCGCGUGACCGAAGAAGCCCUUCGGGGUGUAAAGGUCUUUUAUCGCCGAGCAAUUUUUGAGUGUAGGCGACGAAUAAGGGGCUGCUAAACUCGUGCCAGCAGCCGCGGUAAGACGAGUGCCCCAAGCGUUAUCCGAAUUUACUGGGCGUAAAGGGUCCGUAGGGGGUUUUGAUAGUCCCGGGUUAAAUUUUAAGGCUCAACCUUAAAGCUGCCCGAGAAACGUUAAAACUAGAGGGUACAAGAGGCUGAAGGAACGCACGGUGUAGGGGUGAAAUCCGUUGAUAUCGUGCGGAACACCAAAGGCGAAGGCAAUCAGCUGGUGUAUCCCUGACCCUGAAGGACGAAAGCGUGGGGAGCAAAAAGGAUUAGAUACCCUUGUAGUCCACGCCCUAAACGUUGAGUGCUAGCUGUAUAAAGUAUCGACCCUUUAUGCGGCGAAGCUAACGCGUUAAGCACUCCGCCUGGGAAGUACGAUCGCAAGAUUAAAACUCAAAGGAAUAGACGGGAGCUCGCACAAGCGGUGGAGCAUGUGGUUUAAUUCGACGAUAAACGAGGAACCUUACCAGGGCUAGACCGCCAGAUGAAAUCCCGCGGAAACGCGGGGCGACCCGCAAGGACAUCUGGUUCAGGUGUUGCACGGUUGUCGUCAGCUCGUGUCGUGAGAUGUCCCCUUAAUUGGGUCAACGAGCGCAACCCCUAUUAGAUGUUACAAGUGUCAUCUAAGACUGCCUCGGGAUACGAGGAGGAAGGCGGGGACGACGUCAAAUCAGCGUGAUCCUUUGAUGCCCUGGGCGACACACGUGCUACAAUGGCCGGUACAAUGGGUUGCCAAGCCGUAAGGCGGAGCCAACCCCAUCAAAGCCGGUCCCAGUUCGGAUUGAGGGCUGCAACUCGCCCUCAUGAAGUUGGAAUCGCUAGUAAUCGCGGAUCAGCCAUGCCGCGGUGAAUACGUUCCCGAGCUUUGUACUCACCGCCCGUCAAGCCAGGGGAGCCGGUAGUUCUGGAAACGUCACUUCGGUGGUGUUAAAGAGAGAUCGGUAACAAGGGCUAAGUCGUAACAAGGCAUCCGUAGCGGAAGCUGUGGAUGGAUCACCUCCUUUCUAG